rnacentral:rRNA from 1 species
GACAGAGGGGGCAAGCGUUGUCCGGAUUGACUGGGCGUACAGCGCGCGCAGACGGAGUAUUACGUGCUUUGUGACAUCUCCGAGCUUAACUGGGAGGCGCCAAGGUACACGGAUAGUCUUGAGUGGUUGAGAGGGAUGUGGAAUACCCGGUGGAGCGGUGAAAUGCGUAGAGAUCGGAAAGAACACCAACGGCGAAGGCACUCUGCUGGGCCGACACUGACACUGAGAGACGAAAGCUAGGGGAGCGAAUGGG